AGCGGGACAUUUGAGGAUGGGGUGACUGCGUACCUUUUGUAUAAUGGGUCAGCGACUUAUAUUCUGUAGCAAGGUUAACCGUAUAGGGGAGCCGUAGGGAAACCGAGUCUUAACUGGGCGAAUGAGUUGCAGGGUAUAGACCCGAAACCCGGUGAUCUAUCCAUGGGCAGGUUGAAGGUUGGGUAACACUAACUGGAGGACCGAACCGACUAAUGUUGAAAAAUUAGCGGAUGACUUGUGGAUGGGGGUGAAAGGCCAAUCAAACCGGGAGAUAGCUGGUUCUCCCCGAAAGCUAUUUAGGUAGCGCCUCGUGAACUCAUCUUCGGGGGUAGAGCACUGUUUCGACUAGGGGGUCAUCCCGACUUACCAACUCGAUGCAAACUGCGAAUACCGAAGAAUGUUAUCACGGGAGACACACGGCGGGUGCUAACGUCCGUCGUGAAGAGGGAAACAACCCAGACCGCCAGCUAAGGUCCCAAAGUCAUGGUUAAGUGGGAAACGAAGUGGGAAGGCUCAGACAGCCAGGAUGUUGGCUUAGAAGCAGCCAUCAUUUAAAGAAAGCGUAAUAGCUCACUGGUCGAGUCGGCCCGCGCGGAAGAUGUAACGGGGCUAAACCAUGCACCGAAGCUGCGGCAGCGACACAAAGUGUUGUUGGGUAGGGGAGCGUUCUGUAAGCCUGCGAAGGUGUACUGUGAGGUAUGCUGGAGGUAUCAGAAGUGCGAAUGCUGACAUAAGUAACGAUAAUGCGGGUGAAAAACCCGCACGCCGGAAGACCAAGGGUUCCUGUCCAACGUUAAUCGGGGCAGGGUGAGUCGACCCCUAAGGCGAGGCUGAAAAGCGUAGUCGAUGGGAAACGGGUUAAUAUUCCCGUACUGGUGGUAACUGCGAUGGGGGAACGGAGAAGGCUAGGUUGUCCGGGCGACGGUCGUCCCGGUUCAAGCAGGUAGGCAGAGUGAUUAGGCAAAUCCGGUCACUUAAUGCUGAGAUGUGAUGACGAACCACCAAGGUGGUGAAGCAAUUGAUGCCCCGCUUCCAGGAAAAGCCUCUAAGCUUCAGGUUACCAACAAUCGUACCCCAAACCGACACAGGUGGUCAGGUAGAGAAUACUCAGGCGCUUGAGAGAACUCGGGUGAAGGAACUAGGCAAAAUGGUGCCGUAACUUCGGGAGAAGGCACGCUGGCGG
rnacentral:rRNA from 1 species